AAUACACCUUCACUGUAUCUCAUCUGACAGCCUCUCUGCUCUCUCCUUCUUACAAUUUCAUAUUCCCUUUGUUCCUGGGGAAAAAAAAAAAAUAUCUCCACGUCAUAACAGACUCCCCAGAUGCAGAGUCGGCUGCACAGAACGGGCAAAAAAAAAAAAAGACAUUAUUCAAAUUGUGGCUGGUCUCAGAGGCAGUAAAUCUGCGACUCUUAUAGAAAGUCAGCGCCACUUAUUGCCGGGGCACGGGGGCACACACUGAAUGAUUCCUACUCUGCACACAGGCUGACAUUCACUCUACCUGGCAUGGGCAUAAACUCCUGUGCCCACUGCCUAUACCCAACACUGGCACAGGAGGCUAUCAGCUCCCACCUGCCAGGAUUCCAACACAGCCCAGUGAAUGGAGAUCUGCUGCCCUGUCCUGUUCAGCUAUAGGAAUGGAACCUUUUCCUGGGAAAAUGAAACCAGAGGUGUUGGAUUGACAGUCAGUCCUCCCGUCUAAACCAAACUGCCGCUUCACUCUCUCUCUCACUCUCUGCACACCGACAGGUCUUGAAAAAUCAGCGGAAAAAACAGGGAAUCAUCAAGGCGAUGGAUCACUGGCAUCUGAAACGUUGGAUCAAUAUGUUUUUAAAACACGUUUUCUCCUUUUCUUUAUUAUACACCCACAUGCACUGGAUAUUGUAACUAAUGUGGAGAUGAAGAAUCAUUUUUAUAUGUGUUUUAUUUAAUACUCUGCUUAUUUAUGUAUAACUUGAAUUAAUUGGUUAUUAACUGAUAAUACAAUUAGCUGGUUAGUGUCAAUUUUUUAAUUGUUUUUAUGAUUUUUUUUAUUAUUUUUUUUAUUAUUUUUUGUAAGAAUAAAAGCAGGAAAUCAGGCAAGUUGGUGUUAGUAUUUCUGUAUCAUUAUAUCUGAGUAUUUUUUAUUUAUAUCUCACUGAAUGUAGGAA